rnacentral:rRNA from 1 species
CGGGGGGGCGAAGCGUUGUUCGGAAUUACUGGGCGUAAAGGGCUCGUAGGUGGCCAACUAAGUCAGACGUGAAAUCCCCAGGCUCAACUUGGGAACUGCGUCUGAUACUGGAUGGCUUGAAUUCGGGAGAGGGAUGCAGAAUUCCAGGUGUAGCGGUGAAAUGCGUAGAUAUCUGGAGGAAUACCGGUGGCGAAGGCGGCAUCCUGGACCGAGAUUGACACUGAAAAGCGAAAGCCAGGGGAGCAAACGGGAUUAGAUACCCCGGUAGUCCUGGCCCUAAACGAUGAAUGCUUGGUGUGACGGGUAUCGAUCCCUGUCGUGCCGAAGCUAACGCAUUAAGCAUUCCGCCUGGGGAGUACGGUCGCAAGGCUG